rnacentral:lncRNA from 1 species
AAGAAUUGAAGCUCUGAAGAAUUGAAGAUUCAAACUUCUAUAAAGCUCUCAAGACGUGCAAGUUUUUAUCAACUUCGAGAUCAUCAUCUUCUGAAAGAUUGAAGACUUGGAAGAUCAAACUUUCCUUAAAUUCUAGAAGAUUGAAGCUCAAAUAGAAUUGCAACUACAACAUUCUAAAGACCGAAGAUCAAGAAAUUCUAAGUUUUUAACUUGUAUUCGAGAGAAAGCAUCAAAGGAGAAAAUACUAGAGAUUGUAUUCACAAUAUUCAUCAAUAUACAAAUUUCAAUUCUACGAAAUACAUUUCUUCAAAAUCUCGUGUGAACAGUUUAGCACGCCUAGUGGGACAAUCUCUACCUUUCAUCUCUUUCUC